rnacentral:rRNA from 1 species
UACGGAGGGGGCUAGCGUUGUUCGGAAUUACUGGGCGUAAAGCGCACGUAGGCGGCUUUGCAAGUCAGAGGUGAAAGCCCGGGGCUCAACCCCGGAAUUGACUUUGAGACUGCAUCGCUAGAAUUGUGGAGAGGUAAGUGGAAUUCCGAGUGUAGAGGUGAAAUUCGUAGAUAUUCGGAAGAACACCAGUGGCGAAGGCGACUUACUGGACACAUAUUGACGCUGAGGUGCGAAAGCGUGGGGAGCAAACAGG